AUUGAACGCUGGCGGCAGGCCUAACACAUGCAAGUCGAACGGUAGCACAGAGAGCUUGCUCUCGGGUGACGAGUGGCGGACGGGUGAGUAAUGUCUGGGAAACUGCCUGAUGGAGGGGGAUAACUACUGGAAACGGUAGCUAAUACCGCAUAACGUCGCAAGACCAAAGAGGGGGACCUUCGGGCCUCUUGCCAUCAGAUGUGCCCAGAUGGGAUUAGCUAGUAGGUGGGGUAACGGCUCACCUAGGCGACGAUCCCUAGCUGGUCUGAGAGGAUGACCAGCCACACUGGAACUGAGACACGGUCCAGACUCCUACGGGAGGCAGCAGUGGGGAAUAUUGCACAAUGGGCGCAAGCCUGAUGCAGCCAUGCCGCGUGUGUGAUGAAGGCCUUCGGGUUGUAAAGCACUUUCAGCGGGGAGGAAGGCGGUGAGGUUAAUAACCUCAUCGAUUGACGUUACCCGCAGAAGAAGCACCGGCUAACUCCGUGCCAGCCGCCGCCGUAAAAC
rnacentral:rRNA from 1 species